AUGCCUAGCAUGAUCAUGGAGAGAGGACAGCAAAACCUGCAAAACGUCCUGGAGGAUGGCUUAAGCAGAGACUUGAUGAACGCCGGCCGGUUUUGUUUUAGCUGUGAGCAAAUAUUCGCAGAUCGGCAAUGCUUGGAGGAACACACGUGUUCCGCAGCAAGUCACAUAUGCUCCUGUGGGACUGAGUUUAGUGAAUACAAAGACAUGUUGGAGCACAGCACUACGCAUGAACCAGGGCACCAAGUACUUGAUCAUGAAACAAUAAAGAAGCGCAGAAUAGAGAAACACAUAGAAGAGGAGGAGAAGCUGAACAGAUUACAGACAGGUGAAGUUGUGUGGAAGGCACCUAAACCGAACAAUGCGCCAGCAUUUUCUUUGCCAGCAAAGCCUAUACAGCAAGUACCUGUCACAUCAGCUCAAAUGCCACAACCUCCCAUGCAACCUGCACGAAUUCCACAAGUGCCUGAGUUGAUCCCCUCGAUGUCACAAGCAUCUUUUCUUCCAAAGCCUGUAAACUCUGCAGUGGACGUGAAGAAUAUCUUUGCAGGAGUAGGUGCACCGACAGUGGAUCUUUGGACACUUUACCAGCCAGUAGUGUUGUUGCAAACUAUGCGCAAGUUUAACAAAGACAAGCCAUACUCUUGUGGCAAAUGUGGGCAGUGUUUUAUGGGAAAGAACCCUCUAGUCUCCCAUCACAGCUCUCAUGCCACCGAUAAAGUUUCUGGCUGUAUAGGUUGUGGUCUGCUGCUCUCCAGUAAGAAGUUAGUUCCUCGCUUCCAUAAUUGUAACUCGCCCAACACUGCUACCAAAUUCAGGCUCAUUACUGCAAAGCCGUUGAGUUACAAGAGGCUAAAUGAAACUAGUACAAAAUUGAGUCAAACCCUAAUGACUCUGGGACCUCAGGCCACUUCCCUUCUGCAUAUGAAAAGCCAAAAUCCCUAUAACACUCAGACAACUCACGUCAAUUCCACUGUGCCACGCAAAGCGGUCAGUAUCAGUACAAUCAAUAAAAGCAGUCACAGGUUCCAUGGCACUCCAUCCCUACAGUUGAAGAGCCCAAAUUCCAGUGCAUUCAAGUCUAAUAUCAAUGUCUCCCUUCCAUUAAAGAGUCAGAGGCCAAAUUCCAGUGCAUCUAUUGAAAGCAGUCGAAGGUUUCCUGUCACCACGUCUGUACAGUUGAAGACGAGCACAAUCUGUGCAUCGGAUGAAUCGUGCAAAACUGCGGAGACACCCUCUGCCCCAAAUGGAUUCACAUGCCGAGUCUGUCAUAUUCCUUUUGAGACUGCUCAGCUACUUCAGAGACACAAGUGUAUUAAAGCACAGGAGUUUAUGGCACAGCACGUGAGAGGGGGCAGACAACAGUAUAAACUAAAAAGGGUGACACCGGUAGCAAACACAAUUCCUGCUCUGAUGAACUAUGAGAGAAAAGUUGGCGUCCCAGCUUCUGCCAACAUAAUGAAAAACCCAGUCAUGGCUGUCAGUCUGGACAAAGGGCAGGGUGCAGUUUCUGUGAAUGGGAAAAGAGGAGUGGACAUAGACGACGAUUGUUACAUAGUUGAAAGCGGACCAGAUAAACCCACUGAGAUGAUUUAUCAAGUAACCUCAUCUGUUCCUAUUAAAAUCUGA
rnacentral:lncRNA from 1 species